rnacentral:lncRNA from 1 species
CGCCCUUCCUUCGGGCCGAGCGCUGCGCCGGGCCCCGCGCUGAGGGGCUGUGCAGAGGAUCCCGGCCGCCUGGUAGCGGGCUCACACAGAGAGUGUCUGCCCUGCCGGCACAGCUGAUGCCUUGGGUGAUUCAGAAAUGAGCAGUGGGAGCGCUCGGUGAUUUUCACAGGAGGAAGACAGCAGCCAGCAAGGCCCCGGCUCCCUGCCAUCUUGAGCCCUUCCUGGUGAUUUGCAGCAGCACAGAUAAGUACGGAGCACUGAGGACUGAAGUCAGCGUUUGGACCUGACUUUAUUUUAGUGUAAAUGACCACACAGGAUUCAUACCGACGGAGAUACAGGAGUAAAAUAGCAGAAGUACAUAAAUGCCUCUUCUAAAAGUGCAGUUUUGAGUAUUUAAAGGUUGAAGGGAUAUAUAGAAAAGAGUCCUCUCCACAUGUGUUUAUGUUUACGUGUCCUAACAGAAGGUGACGCAUUAUCUUACAUGCCAGAUCAUUUGCAGAAGGAAAUCAGGAGAAACCGAGCAGCAGUACAGGUUGCCAGUAUCUCAGAGAUCUCUCCAAGCUGCCCCUUCUUUAACAAGGCCUCCGAUUUUAAGAUACUGAAACAGGAAUAUCUCAGCACUCUCAGUAUUGCCUACAUAAAGAAAAAUUUUGCUCUCGGUUUAUACGCGUGUGGGUAUGCAAGUAGCAAUUCAGUGAAGCAUCACCAGGAAAGGACAGCUCUGUUUCAUCACAGUAACUGA